rnacentral:rRNA from 1 species
CACGUAGGGCGCAAGCGUUGUCCGGAAUUAUUGGGCGUAAAGAGCUCGUAGGCGGACUGUCACGUCUGCUGUGAAAAGCUGGGGCUUAACCCUGGCCUUGCAGUGGAUACGGGCAGACUAGAGGUAGGUAGGGGAGAAUGGAAUUCCCGGUGUAGCGGUGAAAUGCGCAGAUAUCAGGAGGAACACCAGAGGCGAAGGCGACUGCCUGGCGAAACACUGACGCUGAGGUGCGAAAGCGUGGGGAGCAAACAGG